CCUACGGGGGGCUGCAGUGGGGAAUAUUGCACAAUGGGCGCAAGCCUGAUGCAGCCAUGCCGCGUGUGUGAAGAAGGCCUUCGGGUUGUAAAGCACUUUCAGCGGGGAGGAAGGCGUUAAGGUUAAUAACCUUGGCGAUUGACGUUACCCGCAGAAGAAGCACCGGCUAACUCCGUGCCAGCAGCCGCGGUAAUACGGAGGGUGCAAGCGUUAAUCGGAAUUACUGGGCGUAAAGCGCACGCAGCGGUCUGUCAAGUCGGAUGUGAAAUCCCCGGGCUCAACCUGGGAACUGCAUUCGAAACUGGCAGGCUAGAGUCUUGUAGAGGGGGGUAGAAUUCCAGGUGUAGCGGUGAAAUGCGUAGAGAUCUGGAGGAAUACCGGUGGCGAAGGCGGCCCCCUGGACAAAGACUGACGCUCAGGUGCGAAAGCGUGGGGAGCAAACAGGAUUAGAUACCCCGGUAGUC
rnacentral:rRNA from 1 species